UUGAAUCAAAGGGUCAAAGUACCUGUAAUUUUGUUAUAUAUUGCUACAUUCCUCUCCAUGGGAUUGUAUCACCUUUUAUCUUCACUAGCAAUGGAUGAGAGUGCCUGAUUUCUCCCAGCCUCUACCAUAGUGUUGUCAACUUUUGAAUUUUUGCCAAUUUAAUUGUUAGGUGAGAAAUGGUUUCUCAUUGUGUUUUUCCUUUGCAUUCCUUUAUUUUGAGUGAGAUGAGCAUAUUUUCAUAUGUUUAAGGGCCAUUUGCUUUUCUUUUCACGUGAACUGCUGGACUAUGACUUUUGCCCAUUUUUCUAUUGGGUUGUUUUUCUGCUUUUAAAAAUUGAUUUCUAGGAGCUCUUUCUGUGUUGGAGAGAUAGUCCUUUGGAAGAACAUAAAUAGAAAAUAUUUUUUCCCAGCUGUUCAUUUGUCUUUUCAAUUUUACUUAUGGGUAUUUUUCUUUAUUUGACACACACAAGUUUUAAAUUUCUGUGUCAUCAAAUUAGUCAGUCUUUGUUGUUAUUGUUUCUGGAUUUUGAGUCAUAUUUAUGCAGGCUUUACUCACUGCUAAGUUAUAAAGGAAUCUGUGUUUUGUUCUAUUAUUUUUUGGCUUUAGUUUUUAACACUUAUAUUUCUGAAUCCAUUUGCAAUUUAUCUUGGAACAUGAAAUGAUAUAUGGAUCCAAUUUUAUCCUUUUCCAAAUGGUUACUCAGUUGUUUCAGCAUCAUUUAUUAAAAAGUUUGCCUUUUCCUUAAUAAUUUAAGGUGACUCUUGUCUUGUAUUAAAUUUCUAUAUGUAUUUUCAGAGCCCAGUCUCAACACUCAGGCACUAUAUACUGCCUAUCCAUGCUGGAUUUGUACCACUCAAUGAAUUGUACACUGCCAUGUGCCAUGUACUCUUUAAUUAUUAAAAUUUCACUUUUUGAUACCAUAUUUCAUGUAUUAAUCAGGAUAAAGAUUGGAUACAUACAUCAGGAAACCUAAAAAAGAGACUGAAAAAACAUAAAAUCUUAUGGAUUCAUUUUGCUUCUAAGGGAAAUCGGAAUAUAGACUGCCCAGGACUCGUAUCAGGAACUCAUGCUCCUUUUGCCUCUCUGCUCCACCAUCCUUUGUUAUUUUACGCAUUUCGACCUGUUUCUUUGGGACAGUGCUUCUGGAUACCUACACUCCGCUACUCCAAUCUGAACUAGUACUCUCUGGGCUUGUUACACAGGUUAUUGUCCUGAUUGUUCACCAUCCUCUUGGGUACCUCCUUUGCCUGGCCAGGUACUGUGUCUUCCUCUUUUUCGGUUCACUUUCUGUUAAGAAGGUGCACAUUCUCCAAUAACUUGUUGAAAAAAGGUACAUGGAAGAUACAUUUUUGAGGAACUUUUAUAUUAUGAGUAUUUUUAUUGUACCAUAACAAUUUAUUGGGAGUUUAGUUAUCCUCUUAGUCUGUACCACAGUAACAGAAUAUCAUAGGCCAGGUGGCUUAUAAGCAACAGAAAUUUAUUUCUCACAGUUCUAGAGGCUGGGAAAUCCAAAAUCAAGGCAGAUUUUGUGUCCAGUGAUGACAUCCUUUCUGAUUUCCUAGAUAGCCAUCUUCUCACUGCAUCCUCACAUGGCAGAAGGGGUGAGGAAGCUUUCUGGGACCUCUUUUAUAUGGUUACUAUCCCAUUCAUGAAGACUCCAUUGCCAUGACCUACUCACCCACCAAAGGCCCCACCACCACACCACCUAAUACCCUUACAUUUAACAUUAGGAUUUCGGCCGGGCAUGAUGGCUCACGCCUGUAAUCCCAGCACUUUGGGAGGCUGAGGUGGGCAGAUCACAAGGUCAGGAGAUCGAGACCAUCCUGGCUAACACGGUGAAACCCCAUCUCUACUAAAAAUACAAAAAUUAGCCAGGUAUGGCGGUGUGCGCCUGUAGUCCCAGCUGCUGGGGAGGCUGAGGCAGGAGAAUGGCAUGAACCCGGGAGGCAGAGCUUGCAGUCAGCUGAGAUCGCACCACUGCACUCCCGCCUGGGCAACAGAGCGAGACUCCAUCUCAAAAAAAAAAAAUUAGGAUUUCAAUACAUGAAUUUGAAGGGGUGGGCACAAACAUUCAGUCUAUACCAGUUAUGGAAUUUUACUUCAGAUAUCACUUUCCCUAAGAAUUUCAAAGGAAUUGCUCCCUGGAAUUUCCCAAAUACAACACUAUUCUAAUUCCUG
rnacentral:lncRNA from 10 species